AUGUCAUAUUUCUCGGUUCGAGAUGCUUCCUCUUUUCUUUCCCGGAGUUCCAAGCUCUCUCAAUUAUAUCAUCACGAAGAUCCAUCUAAAUCAUUACAAGGCUUCACCUUGUGUUUUCAACUUCUCUUUCUUUUUAUCAUCAUUUUAUUACCGGAGUUCUCACGAAGGCUCAACAUGGUGGUUCGUCAAGGAUUUCUUUUCAUUCUUCAAUUUUCCUCAAGAUUCUCGAAGUUAAGAUCCGCCAAGCUAUACUCUCAAAUAAACAUGGUGCUCAACACAUGUUUUGUUUUGAGGAGUUCAAGCAUUCUUCAUCUUGCAUUCUGA
rnacentral:rRNA from 1 species